rnacentral:tRNA from 1 species
UGGGGUAUAGCUCAGUGGUAGAGCACAUGCUUACCAUGCAUGAAGUCAUGGGUUCGAUCCCCAGUACCUCCA